rnacentral:pre_miRNA from 12 species
UGUGCAUGGAUGGAUGGGUGGAUGUGCUUGCACAUGUAUGUCUAUACACACACACACACACACACACACACACACACACACACACA